AGUGGUGAGUGGAGACAGGACAAGGGGAAACGGCCGGAAACUGCAGCAUAGGAAGUUCUGCACCAAUGUGCGCAAGAACUUCUUUACAGUGAGGUGAUGGAGCACUGGAACAGGCUGCCCAGGGAGGUGGUGGAGUCUCCUUCUCUGGAGAUGUUCAAGACCUGCCUGGAUGCCUACCUGUGCGACCUGCUGUAGGGAACCUGCUUUGGCAGGGGGGUUGGACUCGAUGAUCUCUGGAGGUCCCUUCCAACCCCUACAGUUCUGUGAUUGUCUUGCAGAGUUUCUGUUUCUACCUUCAUCUGGCUGACUUGGGUCUUGCUGUUAUCUUCCUGAUGGCUGAAGGAUCUUUUCUGGGGAAAUAAAACAUACUCAGUGUCCAGUCAGCUCUGCUGUAGGGGAUCCACCCCAAAGGGUCAUUGCUGCAAUCUGUGGUACAACUGAAACUAACAAAAGUUGAAAUGCAUUCCGUUCUCAUUGGUAGUGUUGAAAGGCAAUUACCCAUCUUUUCAAAAUGCAGUCUUUGCCAUUUCCUUUUAGGAGGCGCAUAAGAAAACUCCCUUUCUUGUUGCAGUCUGCCCUUUUGUAUGAAGUGUAGCUAUGCCAUCUUCUAGGGAAUUUGGCAAUUGAGACAGAAAUUGUAUUCAUAGCUAUAUAAAUACAGGAUACACAUGCAGGCUGGCAGUGUUUCCGAAUGGCCAGGUUUAUUUUUAGACCUCUAAACGGCUGUGUCACAUCCAGGAAGUGCAGGGAGGAGAUCUCUGGUUGAAGUUCAAUGUGAGAACAUAUUUUUAAUGACGUUGGCACAGAAAACAGUUGUAUUUUUACUUCUUUAAAGGUGAGGCUGAGAGACAAAUUUAUUUAAAGGAGCUGCCUGCUGGUUGGGUGGAGCACACGGAGCUAUCACAGCCCUGGCAUGCCCAGAACAGAAGUGACUGUGUGUUUAAAAAGUAAUAAUAACAAAAAGAAAACAAGAUUGGAUUAAUAGGUAACUGAGUGAAGCUUACAGCGUAUGGAUACACUAUACAUAUAGGCAUGUUGGCAAGUUUAUGAGUACAGAGUCUAAGUUUAGGUACCUAACUCCACCAUUAGGAUUUUGAAUAACAGGGCUGGAUCUGUUGGGGUCAACUUCUUCCCUUUCUGUUGUACUUAAUGGAGAAUGGUGUGUGCUCAGCCUUUCCAGAAGUGAAGCUGCAUAGUUGACAAGUUUGACAUUUUUCUGGUCUCCAAAUCAAUGAGAAAGGUAGAAGGAGCUGCCAAGGAAAAGUUUACAGAAUCAAAGCUACUAUAGAUAACAAUAAUGAGAUGGCUGAUCUAAUCUGGGCGUUGAGACAGACUCUGUGAAACCAGCUGAGUGAAAGAAUACCAAAAUGUCCAUGGACAUGCUUGCUCUGGAAGAUAAGAGAGAAUUGAGAAAUUAAGCCUUUAAUAGACUAAAACAAAGCAUAGAACAGAUAUUCAUUGUGAGUUUUUCUUUUGCAGAGCUCAGUUUGCGUCCUGCUUUUACAAUGGCAUCAGCGGGUUUGUGAAAGUUUUCUGCAUUUAUUUCCAAGAGCCUUUCUUUGCGUGUUUAAAAUGGAGAAAAAAAAAGAACAACCUUUCUCCACCAGAUGGCAGAAUCACUCACAAGCCAUUCCGGACAAAACUUCGAAAGUCUGCAUGUUCUAAGGCUAAGUGAGGCAACCUUUGUAAACAGAGCGCUGUCUGUUAGAUCAGCUAAUGUAGCCAGGGGAGACGGCAGGAAAACAACCUUAAUGACACCCUUCAGAAAUGCAUAUACCAGCUGGAUUUGUAUAUCCUCUUUCCCUGCAAAGCUUGCCUUGCUGAUAAACACUGUGGAUGUUAUCCUGUCCUUUAGAAAGAGGUUUCAAUUUGUAGAACUGCAAGGGUGGGGAUUCCCCUUCAUUUUCCUAUUUCGUAUUUAGUCAGAACCAAAAACUUAUUCUGGAACAAAACCAAGUCCCCUUCAACUACUACUCGUCUUGCUCAAGUUUCUCUAGCACAGCUGGGCUCAUCAGAGACCUCCCUGGGCUAAAACAUACAACACACUGGCAGCCAGCACCAGGUGACUUUCAGACAGGAGCUAUGAAGACUCCAAAGUAAAAAAUAAAUAAAUAAAUAAAUAAAGGCAAGGUGUCAAAUAUAUGGACAUUAAAACAGUAAAAAAAGAAUAAACCCUCCUGCAUUGUACUUCUGAGUUAAUCCAAUUGUAGAAACGUUUUCAGAUGUAACUAGAAAAAUGAGGACAUGCAAGAGUUAGUCUUGCAUGAGAGUAAAUCAGCUUACAAGCUCUUGGUAUGAAACUACUUUUUAAGGGUUGAGAGGGCAUAUAUUUAAACAGACUGUGAAAAUACUACCAAAAUAUAGGGGACAAAGAGACAAAGAAUAUGCAAGUAAUGAGAGAGGUACCAAAGGGGGCAAGUGGAGAAACUCCGAGGUGUACAUAAAAGAUCGCUUGAUCUCCAGAAUGCCCAAACCCUGCUUAGUUUCUCACUGCAGCUUUGAGGGUGGAAAACAUACAAGAGCUUCCCCCGUGAUUCAGGAGAAGUCUGUGACUGUCAUAUACCAGGGCUUUGUCACCCCAGUUGGCACGAGCAGAUUAAUCAUCCAGGCUGCAAUAACAGAACUGUGUUUAUGAAGGUUUCAGAAGGCCUCCCAGGAACACCCAGCUGUUUUCUUGGCCGGCUCAUUUCCCUGCAGUUGUAGCUGAAAGGCCUGGGUACCAUGCUUAUCCCCUCACACAUGGCCUCAUACAUUUCCAACAGAAAAAUGGUUUUAUUCUGAGUUAGAUUGCUGUUGAAGGAGAAAUAAUUUUUGCAGAAACCUGUAGAUCUUCAGGGACAUUUGCAUGUUCUGUUAUAGAACAAAAGUAUUUCCUGGUUUGUUCUUCCUCACCAGUCAUGGUUCCUUAAUUCUGGGAGAUGAGGUUCAGUCCCUACUUCCCAGGCCCUUUCUUAGCAAACACCUGAAUAGGAAAAAGGAACUCUGAGAUGUGGUGUGAGCAGCUGCAGCAUGGGAAAUGGAUACAAAUGACAUUCAAGUGAAGGCUAAAUAGGUGCUUUCCAUGUUUUAGUGGCAAGGGACAAACCCUGAGGACAGAUGGAAGGAAGAGGUCCCAAACGGACCCAUUAAGAACAUCAGCAAAUAAAUCUUUGUAUCACAUCUUUAACAUUCACUAACCUGAUGACACCGUGUUGAUAAUGCACUUAGACAAUCCUGGCAGGUUUUGGCAAAGAGAGAGCAAGAUGAUUAGUUAUGUUCUUUGUGAAGAUCCAAGUACAUGUAGGAUGCAGGAAGUAAACCGCGUGAUCAGCCAAAAAUAAAAAUGAAAGAUGCAAAUUCUAAGAGACUUCAGAAAUAUAAACCCUUUGCCAGAAGAAAUUUGGGAAAGGAUCACUCAGGGUGAAAGUGCAACUACAUAAUAACAAGGUUGUAUGAAUAUUGGGGCAGUUGAAUAAGUUCUGUGUACAUUCUCUUCCUUUUCAGAUCUUUCUUUUGAUCAGAAUGUUAAUACAUCACUGGAAACACAAUAACAAUCAUUAUUAAUAAUAACAGUACUUUACUGCAUGUUCAUUAUGGUUUGCAAAUUUAAAGAUUAAAAGACAAUGUGCUUCAGGAAGACUGCCUCUCCAGUAUACCCUGCUUCCUGUGUAAAGCUCAAGAUGCCCGGGGUACAAAGCGCUGUAUCACAGCCUACUUUGCCAACGAGGCAAAGGGAAAACUUGGUGCAAGUUUGUCCAUAACUGUCUGGGAUUCAUCAGUGAAUUUAUUUUGUACUCUCCCCUCUUGUCAUUUUUGUAUUUAUGCUGACUCUACACGUAGAAAGCCUACCUUUUCUGUGUCUUUCUUCCUAUAAGAAGUCUUUCAAAUCAAAUAGACGCCAUUUUGAAGGGAAAAGGGCAAGACUGGAAUAACCACUGUCUGGACAAAGAAUUACAUGAUAGUUUGCUUGUUGACAAAGAAAGCAAUGCAUUUUUUUGCUUGUGUGCAAGCUCACAAGCUUACUAUUAGCAGUCCAUAAAUUGCAUCUUCUUGGUUUGGGUCUCUGCUGGAGUUCAGGUUGAUUUUCUGACUGUGAUUCAGGAUGUUCCAGGACAUCUGCAGAUUUAGACUGCUAGUUUCACAAGGUGAACAAAACAUCAGUCAGAAGAGUCCAUACCACUACAGACACUGAAAUAACUGAACUAGCACUGGAAGAGCUCCUUCCUAGCAGAACUGCAGAACCCUUCUCUCACACCCUGUGGUGAUGGUACUGCUCCAUCAGCCCAGAGAGAGCCUUUGUACUUCUGUGACAGUGUUCCUUACUUAGAUGUGGUUGUUUCAUGUUUGUGCUAAAGCAGGUAUUCAUUCACCAGCAGACAACUGGACAACAUAAAAAACUUCUCUUCUUGCUAAGCAACAAGUAGUUGUAGCAAUUAGAUGGUGAGGUGAUAUUUCAUCGGGAUAUACCUGAAUAUAGAUAAAAAAGAUGUAGGUUUGAUAGCCAGGAAAGCAAGGUGACACUUCAAAAGGAUGACUGAGCUGGGUGCAACAUUUUAUUUCAGGAUACGUAUGCAUCCAUGUCUGGUCUGGAGGAGACCUAAUCUCAAACAAGUUUAGAGCAAACUUAUCUCAAUAAACCCAUUUCCAGCGUAGGCGUUGGAAUGCUCUCUGUAGAUUCAUAAGGUAGCCUGUUUGUGAUGGCUAGGGACUCCUGAGUGAGAUUACUCACAUUAACCUUCAGGAUUUCAAUAGGAAGCUGCCCUAGGGUGGGUAAGGCUUUCAGUAAAGUGCUCCCAACGACUUGGCUAACUGCUGGUAUUGUUUCACUCCAUGUAUGUUAAAAGCUGUAUUUGUAAAGCAAUGCUUUCAAAAGCAGAGAUCAGUCCGAUACCAGGAGAAUGGUGACUUUGUAAUUCACAUGCCACAUCUAUCGUUAGCAGAAGGGAAAUGCAGAGGCUUCUUCAGAAAUGGGUAGUUCAUUGUGUGCAAUGUAAAAUCAUACAGCGAAAGGGCUGCACCAACCAAACAUUACACUGUGAAGCAGAACACAACCAGGUCUGCAAGGGAGGGAGUUACAGCAAUUUUAAGUUCCAAAAUAAAGACUACUAUUUCUUGUGUAAUACGCAGCUCGAAAGUAAGAAGGAGAGCAGGCAGGAGACAUGUGGACAAAUACAUCAGCGGGGCUUGGACAACGGUAGGAGAUCCACGGCCAGACCACAAUGCAGGGCCUGGUUAAGGAGCUGCUUGUGUCAUGUAAUGUAACGCCCCGCGGGCCUCUGUUGUUAGCAACGAGCAGUUGGAAUCACGGCCAGGCAGUUAGGAUCCGUUUAUUAUCUUCCCCCCUGCCCCCCCAACCCAAACUGCAGCCUGACUAAAACAGCAAAAACAGCACUGUCAGGCUGACCUCACCCCCAGCCAGAGUUCUGUCUGUCCGUAUGGCUCUGCCCGUGCGCGGCACCUCAAGCAGACGGCGCUUGUUCUGCCCACUUUGUUGGCAGCCUUUCCUGGAGCGAGGCUCCCCUGAGAACAUUUCAGAAGGUGGAUGCACUGCGGGGCUCCUUGGGAGCUCCUGAAAGCAUCCAUCUUUCACACGAGCUCCGUAUGCAGCCUUCUGGGUGACUCCCUGAACAGACUGACAUCAGAAUGACCGUGGAACACCGAAUUGAUGAAACACUUCUAAACUCAACUGGCGCCAUCCUAACCUGUUUAAACGGGGCUUUCUCUGAUGUAAUUAGAAGCAAACAAGUCCCACAGAGAGAGAGGUCGCUGCAUUGACAAUUUUCACAGCUACAAGUUGGGAGAGCAGGACGUGGUCACAUCCCAGCCGCAUACUUCACCCCUGGUUAACAAGAGUAGGAGAAAAAAUGGAUUUAUUCUAUCACUCAGUGAUAGCUGUCACCAAAGCUGCUGGGAGACAGAACUCCUUCCUAGGCUUCUUCUUUUCUGUUCUCCAGAAUCACUCCACGAGCUCCUGUCAAAAGCGAGGACUGAGCUGAAUACUAGAGAGAGAAAAAUAGAAGAAUAAAAAGUUGCAUUCCACAUUAGGCACUGGGCACCGCUCAGUAUAAGUUGCAGAUAAUGGGUUUAUAAUUUUGCCAGUUUUUGACAGCAUACAUUACUGUUCUGUUUAGUUUUGCUUCAGGCUGACUGAGCUGCUACCAAACAAGAAUCAGAUUUGGGCAGGCAGUCAGACGCUAUGCAGGUCUCCCAAAAGCAUGGAGGAAUGUGUAUUUCGAGUAAACAAAAGCAAAACCAAAACCUGCUGUCUUCUGAUGUGGCCUUGGUUCAGCUCCAGGUGUUUUUGGGGCUGCUUGCUUUUAGUGCUCACAAGAGCCGUGCUGCCUGGCUGCAGGGAGUGAGAGCUCCUGACCACCUGCCAGAAAAACCUUCUGCUUGGCACUGCCUUUGUCAGUCCCCCAGAAGUAAGGCUACGGUUUUCAAAAUGUGGAAGGUUGUAUCUGGCACAGCUCCUGUUUAACAAAAUACAAAAUACAGCAAAAUACAGCAUAGCCUUCCCUGCUUAACAGCUGCAAGAGCACUGAACGUGCUGUCUGCGUUCUCCCAGCUGCUGAGCCUUCCCCUUGAUUUCCACUUUGCAUUACUGUGUUCAAAAUUACCCCACAGAAGGCUGCAUCUCCUUUUCAUUUGCACAAAAUCUGGAUGUCAUUUAUAGCACAAAGUUUCUGAUGGUACUGACUGACCUCUGUACCAGUACAGGUCUUGGCUUAGCAAGUGUUAGGGUGAGUUCUCUAAACCAUGUUUCCUACAUGUGCUUUUUCUUACACAAGAGAACAGGAAUGUCAAGAAAGAAAACAACAGAAUUCUUUCUCUGAUAUUUACACAGCCGUGCGUGGACCCACUGAGCAGCACACAGGGUCGUGGCUGUGGCAGGCAGCCCUGCAGUGAGCCUUGCUGCAGGCGCCAUCUCAGCAUCCUUUCUCCUCUGUCCUUUCCCUUGCUGUGCCUGACAGUCAGAUCACGGGUUUCUGGCACACUAACAGAGAUGCUAAGGCUUAAGAAAGGACCCAUCAGCAGAAGCUCCAGAAUUUUUUUUGUUUUGGCCUGGGAGCAGUUGAAGGAUGGCACAAGAGGUUAGCCCAGCUGAUAGCCAAGCAACAGCAAAUGGGUUACAGAGCAGAACUGAAGAAACCUGACCACCUGUGCCUCUGACCAUCUUGUGGGAAUGUCAGGCCAUUUCAGGCAUAUGCUGAGUGUUGUCUAGGCAGUACAUGAGGAAAGAGUCAGGACAUGUUGGAAAAAUAAAUCAACUGGGAUGAGGAAUAAAAAUCUGAAACUGAAGUUUUUUAUGGCUCAUCUAUUCUUAUGAGUUGGGCAUCCCUGCAGCACAGCAACCCAUCUUUCCUCUGGGAAAUGUGCUUAUAGGUAAACUGGAUCCAACUCAGAAAAAAUGAUUUAGCUUGCAAGCAUUACAUGAUGAAACAUCUGUAUGUAGAACCUGAAUUUAUACUGAUAUGAAUGUCGUAGUAUGUUAGCUACCAGUGAUGUGAAGUGGGUAUCUUCAGUUAACUACGACUGCUCCAGAUACUAUCUGUAACAUUAGAAAUAAAUUACAGAGAUACUGAAAACCUGUGGCAUAUGGGGUCUUAUUGUAGACCCUUUCUUUUCUUGUCUUUUUAGGCCCUUGACAUAGUGGGGAAGUCAGUUCGCACCACUAUACAGGCUUAUUACUCACCCUUCAUAAAACUUUUAGUUAUACUUGUCCAGAACUAUCAGGUGUAAGAAAAUAACGUGCAUGUUGGUGAAACAGCAUCUGCUGUAUUAGUGACAAAUGCGACAAAAGUGGUGCAGCAUUACAAGUCAGAAAAUAGCCAUUAUCUCUCUAGCAAAGCAUAAACAGCAUAUUUUACCUACUUAAGCCUCUCCUUCCUCGAGAUUAGUCUGUUUGAGAAAAGAGGCAAGGUUGACCUUGGAGCCAGAUAACAAUUCUAGACAGAAACUGCUUUUUCUUUUUUCCCCGUCUUAGCUGUUAAUAGAGCGGUAAGAAAAGUUGUUCCUUAAAGAAUCACAACCUGAUCACAAAUACACCGGUCAUGAGAUGCUUGUUGGCGGAGAAGUGGAGAAACAAAAUAAUAGCCACCAGUUUAAUACAUCUUGGGCUAUAUUUAUGUAGAAAAUGUAAUGCUAAUAUAAAAAAAUCUUUAUUACCACACACCUUGAGCAAAAUGAUGUCAUGUUUAAAAGAUGGUUCAGUAAUGUGAUAUGUCUUCAGAAGUGCCUGAUGCCCCAUCCCUGGAGGUGUUUAAGGCCAGGCUAGGUGGGACCUUGGGCAAUUUGAUCUAGUACUUGAUCUAGUGCCUGGUAACCCUGUCUGCAGCAGGGGGGUUGGAACUUGAUGAUCCUUGAGGUCCCUUCCAACCCAGGCUGUUCUGCGAUUCAUUUUAUGAAAUACUCUUUUUUUCAGUUCAGUAAAAUACCUUAUGUAUGUACAUUGCUUGUCUGCCACAUAAGGACAAGAUGCAGCACUCAGCAUUAAAUCUACUCACUGUAGCCAUUCCGUUCUAUCACAUUUUUGUAUAGAAGUUAUUUUCUAUUGAUGACCAGACUAGGAAUUCAGAAAGGAUCUGAGUAAAUUGUGUGCUGUGUUGAAGCAAUCAGAUAGCUAACUUUGCUGAUGGCAGGACAAGGCACUUAAAACAAGGUCUGUUUGCAUUGAUGCUAAUAGGGACAAGCACGUAGAGCAGACCUGCUGCAGCUUCUCAGCCGUCCCUCACUAGGCCUUGAGCUUUACACUCUACAUGGACAGCAAGCUUGCUCUCUAUCAUCACACAAACACUUCAGUGUAAUAAACCAAGGCUGGGAUUUUUCGGAGGUGCUGUUGUUGCUGGAAAUCUGUGUUUGGCCAGUGGACAAGUCCAGGCAAUUACCCACUGCUUGUCGGAACAAGUUAGUUGUCAUGGGAAAAAGCAGCCUCACGGAGCUGCUCUGCUGCUGCCCAUCUUCACACAUCAUUUGCAGCAUUCUUGUUCCUUAACAAACCUUUUCUCUCUUCAGAGAUAAUUCUGAAGUGUCACUGUGGGCAAAUAAACCUGACAAUAAGAAAAAGGAGACAGACUGAUAACCAAUCAGUCCUGAUUGAAGCGUGGCCACUAAUGAGCAUCCACCCCAAUAACAUGCUCCUGAAUAGCCUCAUGUUCAAAAUUAGAGUGAGAGGGGACAGGAACGUAGCUCACACUGCUCAUUUCUCUAGGGAAGUAAUAUUUCCUCCUAGUUUCCUAAAUAUCAGCAAAAAAAAAAAAAAGUGGCCAAA